AACCUACGGGGGGCAGCAGUAGGGAAUCUUCCACAAUGGACGAGAGUCUGAUGGAGCAACGCCGCGUGAGUGAAGAAGGGUUUCGGCUCGUAAAGCUCUGUUGGUAGUGAAGAAAGAUAGAGGUAGUAACUGGCCUUUAUUUGACGGUAAUUACUUAGAAAGUCACGGCUAACUACGUGCCAGCAGCCGCGGUAAUACGUAGGUGGCAAGCGUUGUCCGGAUUUAUUGGGCGUAAAGCGAGUGCAGGCGGUUUAAUAAGGUUUGUGUGAAAAGCUUCGGGUCAAACGGAGGAUU
rnacentral:rRNA from 1 species